rnacentral:lncRNA from 1 species
ACAUAAGACAAACAAGUGAUAGGGGUAGCAAAAAUCAACUUAGACCUCUUGUGGGGGCGUUUCAUCUAGGUUCUGGGAAGUGAGGUGCAUCAAACAGAAAGAGUAACCCUUGUUUCUCCAGCCUGCAGAAAGGAACAAUUAUAGCUGAACUGCUGUACUUUCUUUCUGCCCUGCUUUAUUAUUCUCCAUAGUACUUAUCACCUUGUAACAUCUGGAACACACCCUGGCAUAUGGUAGGCCCUCCAUUGAUGUUUAUUGGAUGUGAAUAAAUGAAUGUGUCAUCAAGAGGAUUUGCGAUGCCCCGCUCGUCAUGGAGAUGUUAGGACUCUAAUAUCCAGUUUCAACUUUCCAACUGGCUUCUUGGAAACUUGUGGCUCCUUCUUAAAAACUGAGACGGGGCCUCCCUCUAUUGCCCAGGCUGAAGUGCAG